rnacentral:rRNA from 1 species
UACGGAGGGUGCGAGCGUUGUCCGGAAUCACUGGGCGUAAAGCGCACGCAGGCGGUCUGCUAAGUUUGGAGUGACAGUUGGUGGCUUAACUGCCAAAGUGCUUCGAAAACUGACAGACUUGAGGGCUUCAGAGGGACACGGAAUUCCGGGUGGAGUGGUGAAAUGCGUAGAGAUCCGGAGGAACGCCAAAGGCGAAGGCAGUGUCCUGGGGAGUACCUGACGCUCAGGUGCGAAAGCCAGGGGAGCGAACGGG